rnacentral:rRNA from 1 species
UACAGAGACUGCAAGCGUUAUUCGGAUUCACUGGGCGUAAAGGGUGCGCAGGCGGUCGGGUGUGUCAGAUGUGAAAUCCCGAGGCUCAACCUCGGAACUGCGUCUGAAACUACUCGACUAGAGUACUGGAGAGGGUAACGGAAUUCACGGUGUAGCAGUGAAAUGCGUAGAUAUCGUGAGGAACACCAGAGGCGAAAGGCGGUUACCUGGACAGUUACUGACGCUCAGGCACGAAAGCAUGGGGAGCAAAAGGG